rfam:Schistosoma mansoni strain Puerto Rico chromosome 4, complete genome
AUCCAGCUGACGAGUCCCAAAUCGAACGAAAUGAUUGUCCUAGAU